GUAAAAUCAACAACAACUCCUGUUUCCUUUGACUGCAAAUUAGCAAUAAAAUAACAAUCUUUUGAGACUUAAAGCAGACAAAGUGGCAGAUGAAGUUAUUAUCAUUAAGUAUUAGUACCUGAGAUAUUGAACCUAAAACCAUGGUGAGAUCAUUUAAUAUGGGUAAUUCCAGUGGUUCUUCCAUGUCACACACCUAAUUUCAUUUGUAC
rnacentral:misc_RNA from 1 species